GUGAGGAAGAGAUGGCGAGAGGAAGGAGGAAGGCGAUAUGAGGGGGCAUCGUGGCCGUCCGAUCUUUGAUCCGACGGUGGAGGAUUCUCGGGGUUUUCUGUGAUGGGGUUCGAGCGAUGCCAAAUUGGCAGCCAAGAGGCAUUGUUUGUUUCAGAAAUGGAUAUCCGUAGAAUUACUUGCGUGUUGAAGAAUGUCAAAUUUUGAAUUGAUAUUUUCAUAGUCAAGUGUAUGUCGAUAAAGCUCUAUCUCUUUUGGAGUUGGAGCUCAACCAAACAGUUUCAGAUUCACUUUAUCGAGAUGUUUAUUACAAACGUCGAAUGUAUUAAGUUCAUCGGUAAUGUACGUGUUUUUUUUAAUUGAUGACGUCAUUGAUUUUAGAGAUAUGUUUAAUCUUUGUCUUAAUAAAUAAUAUUGUGCAAAUAUAAAAAAUAUAGGUAAUGCUUAGAGUACUUUCUAACGAUGAAACAGGUUACGAGAAAAUAAACGAUAAUUAUAUUUUUUUUUAAUAAGAAGAGUGAUAAAACAUAUGUUCCACAACGUUAAACAUGUGAAGUUUAAUUUACUACUCCCUCCGUUCCAAAAUAUAAUAUUUUUUAGAUACAAACUAAACAUACAAUUGUUUAGAUUUUGUAGGAUCGAUGGAAUAUUAAUUUUAAAUGAUUUAACAGGGGAUACCAAUGUCCCCUUCAACAGCCGAUCUUUUCGUGUAAAAGGGAAAGAUGCAUGAUGGAUACGAAAGCUAGUAGAUUAGAGGUAGCCGGCAUGCAUACGUGGCCCAAGCUUCACCAGCGACCCGGAUGUCUCCACGUAUAUGUUCGUGCCACUGCCUGCGAUUCUCAUUGGUUGCCAAAAAAAAAUCUGAUUAUAAGUUAUAUUGGUUUAUUAUCGAUCAGAAAAUAAUGUGUAUGUAAAAAUUUUAUAUAUGUAUUCUUAACGUAUUAACAAUCAAUACUGAAAGAAACUAUAUUACAAAUAUCUUAAAAUUAAAAUUAAAAUUUGCUUUAUUUUUGGCUUUUUACAACCGAUGGACUUUUUUUUUCUCUUUUCCCUUUUUUUUUUUGUGAAAGCUAUGGAUGGAUGUGAACAAGAGAAAAUCAUGUACCCCAUUGGUCUUGUACACGUGUGGUCUCUCGCUCGAGUGAAGUGGCUUGGUUACAACAAGGUAGGGAUAGUUACUUUCCUCUGUGAGUCUAUUACAUAGAUUUUAGACACAUGGAUGUAAACCAGUGGAACAAAUUAUCAGAUGUACUAUAACAAUUGAAUUUAGUAGGUCAUCAGGGGAGAAUAUCAAAUCAA